UACGUAGGGGGGCAAGCGUUGUCCGGAUUUAUUGGGCGUAAAGAGCGUGUAGGCGGCCACGCAGGUCCGUUGUGAAAACUGGAGGCUCAACCUCCAGCUGUCGACGGAAACCGUAUGGCUAGAGUCCGGAAGAGGAGAGUGGAAUUCCUGGUGUAGCGGUGAAAUGCGCAGAUAUCAGGAAGAACACCAAUGGCGAAGGCAGCUCUCUGGGACGGUACUGACGCUGAGACGCGAAAGCGUGGGGAGCGAACAGG
rnacentral:rRNA from 1 species